rnacentral:rRNA from 1 species
AAAGUGUGGAAACGCACGCUAAUACCGCAUACGCCCUACGGGGGAAGAGGGACCUUAACCUGCCAAGGAUGAGCCUAGGUCGGAUUAGCUAGUUGGUGGGGUAAAGGCCUACCAAGGCGACGAUCUGUAGCGGGUCUGAGAGGAUGAUCCGCCACACUGGAACUGAGACACGGUCCAAGACUCCUACGGGAGGCAGCAGUGGGGAAUAUUGGACAAUGGGGGCAACCCUGAUCCAGCCAUGCCGCGUGUGUGAAGAAGGCCUUUUGGUUGUAAAGCACUUUAAGCGAGGAGGAGGCUACCCUGACUAAUACUCAGGAGUAGUGGACGUUACUCGCAGAAUAAGCACCGGCUAACUCUGUG